rnacentral:misc_RNA from 1 species
CUGUGAGAUUACAUAUGCAUAUAGUGUUAAUGCUAUAAGAGUGUAGUAUCUACUCACAAGGUUAUCAGGUUAAAUAGUUUUAUCAACUUAUUAAAAUGUUAUUGCAUAACUAAUUUUAUACUGUAGCCUUGCCACGAUAUCCAGCGAAAAUUAUUUUGCUGAGUAUCGUAGUAAAAGUUAAGAUAUGAUGUUGAGGAUUUUUUUGAGUCGUGCAACAACAUUAACAGCAAACUAUAAUACAAAUCAUUUUUAAAAGUUUGUAUUGCU